rnacentral:tRNA from 1 species
UCUAAUAUGGCAGAUUAGUGCAUUGGACUUAAACCCCAAGAAUAAAGUUUAUACUUUUUUUAGAA